CACACACCGUCCCACACACACUGUCACACACACACUGUCACACACACACCGUCACACACACACACACACACACCCCACAUGCACCCCCUGUCCCCAGCGCACACACAGUGGCCACACCAGCAUUCCCUGCAGUAUUCCAGCUCCCCCUUCCUGCACACCCCAAGCCCACCAAACCCCCUGCUCAGCCCUGGCCAGGGCUGUCAGUGACCAAGGCACGCACAGGCUCGUGCCGGGGUCACAUGUCCCACGUGGGCUGUGACACAGUCUGGCGUUACCAACACAGACAUCUGCAAGGGCUCCUCGUGCCAGCACAGGCAAACAGCAAACCAUGAGCCCACCCAGGGCACUGAGCCCCCCAGAGCCCUGUGCUCACCAGGAGCCCUGAGCCCACUCAUAGCCUUGAUCCCCCCGUGUCCCUGUGCCCACUCGGGUCCCUGUGCCCAGCUCUCCAGGCAAUGUCCUUGUGGUGCAGCUGCUCCUUUGCAAACUCGCAGUAAAACAAACAAUUUUCCUGAUACUUUCCAACCUUUUGAUGGGAUUUUCAUUAAGGGAAGGAGUAGGGGAAAAAACCCUAUUGAAGGGAAGGAUUUUUCUUUAAGUGUUUGCAAUGGAUUCCCUUCCCCUGCUAGAUACAGCUCUGAUCCCACUUGUCCUGCUGAAACCCCUCAUGCAGGCGGCAACAGAAUCCAUGGAUUAAUGUCCUGGCUGGCAGCCAGCGAGAUGCUGCUCUUGGAGGCUCCCCCAGGCCGGAGGGCUGCCAGCCCAGUGCUCGUGUGAGCUACGGAUAUGUGCAAAUGAAACGGUAAAACAACCCUGCUCGUGCAUCCCUGUCUUCUGGAACGUCCCCAGGCCCUCAGUGAGCAGAUGGGUGGUGAUGCCCGAUCCCUGUCAUCAGCUCAGGAUGGCUCUGAGCAGUUGGAGCAGCUUCUUGGGAGAGCUUUGUGCUUAGCACAGGCUCGUGUCAGUGAAGGUUCUGUUGGUUAAUGAGUGUCCAGGUGUCCUUCUGCUGGGAGACCGGGAAGAAACCAAACCUAAUAGGGAUUUGCCCAUCCUGCUUGGCUGGUGGAAGCACCAUGUGAAUGAAAAGUGGUGGUGGGGAAUGGGAGGAUGAUACUGCCCCUGUGUCACCUGCUCCAGGUGUGUCACCUACCCUCAUGUGUCAUCUGCCCCAGGUGUGUCACCUGCCCUCAUGUGUCACCUGCCCCUCAUGUGUCACCUGCCCCAGGUGUGUCACUGUGUGUAUGCAGCUGCUCUGGCCGGCAGGUGCUGAGCAGGGCAGCAGGUCAUGGGCAGCACCCCCAGCCCAGGGCAGGGGGGCAGGUGGGGGCACUGGGGUCAUGUUCUUUCUCUCCUCAGCAUCACAGUUCCAACUUUUUCAUUCAGAUGUUGGGUUCUUAUAAAAUAGUUACCAGGAGAUGUGGGAGCCAGGACCUGCAGCACCUGUGUGUGUAUUUGCUGGGGGAAUGAACUCUGUUUCAACCUGGAUUUUCUCGGGCUGCUGCAGGAACUGGAGAAGAAAAGACCUAAGAAAUACCAAAGUCCAGCUCCUGCCAUGAAUCUUUGUGCUUUGUGUUUUCUUCUGCAUUUUCUUGUCCACUUUUGCUUUAAUAAAGCAAAGAGAACGUCACUGUGUUCACAGUCCCAUAGAAGCUGUCCCUGAGGCUCCUCUCAGGGUGGCCGAGCCCUGGAGCAGGGACCCCCUUGGUGUUGCAGCCGGGAGCCAACCACAUCCACGUUCCCCUGCAGACUCUCUGCUCUGCUCUGGCUCAUCUCAGAGGUGUGGGGGCCUUUGGGCCGGCUCAGUCCGGGUCAGAGCUCAGACCAUCAGCUCCUGCCCAAGGCAACAGAUGGAGGACGAGGGACACACACUUGGCAUCUCCCUGAGAGCAGCGUUGUACGUGGAUGGGCCCAAUUCCAUGACAGAGGGUGCAGAAUAAGGGAUGCUGCCUUUAGUGAAGGUGGGAGAGACUCUUCCUCAGUCCUGUAUCAUGCCAGAAGGUGGGAUCAGGUGGCAAUGGCAUGUGGCAUUCCCAAGGCAGAGCUGUGCCCUCCUGAGCCUGUCAGGUUCCUGCCAGCACCCCCUGCCCCAGCAGGGAGCUCGGCUCAGCAGGAGCAAGAGCUAGGGCAGUGACUCUCCACUCCGAGAGGCCAUGGAUGAGUGGAGAACUGGCAGCAUCCAUGUACUGUUGCCAUAAUGUUCAAGAGGCUCUUUGUGCUCAGCUGAGGGAACAGGGCCCUCAGUCACAGCCAUCGGGCUCAGCCAGGGAGGCAAACCCCACAGGACCACUCACUGCUCCGUGCCCUGCGGGGCCGGGGGGCCGUCACUGUGCUCUGGAGGGAUGUGAGGGGUACCCGAGGGGUCACCAGCCCCCCAGGCAGUCAGAGAGCUGCUGCCCUCACAGUCCUCAUGGAGUCCCUCCCCUUGCUGAGCUCUCACUUAGGAUGUUUCAAUAAUAUAUGCUAAAGAUAUCUGUAUCUAUGUAAAAUAAAGGUGUGGCCCAUUUUCUGUCACUAAAGAUAUUUAUUUAGUGUGAUGCUCUGAGAGAGUCCUCUCUAGUUGCACACUGAGGCACUGAAUGCUCUUCAAGAAAUGAGUCAGAAUGUACCAAUUUAAUAGAAACUUCUAAUUUAAUUAUUUUUCUGGCUGAGUGCUGCCCAGUUUGCAAAGGUCCUCCCUUUCAUGGCAUGCACAGAGCGCAUACUGGAAUAGGCUGCUGUCGGUAUUGGCUCCUCCAGGUUUCCUGUGGCUGCUUGUGGUUAGGCAGGGACCGUGUUUGCUCUUGGGGAACGAUGGAAUGUCCUUUGUUUCUGUCCUCUUUGACUGCACAAAGUGUCCUCGCAUGUCCAGGCAGAAUCCUGGGAUUACAGAGAGGUGUCUGUGCUCUACCUGUCUCCAGACCUGGGGCAGGCAGAGUGCUCCAGCCCCUCUGGGUGGGUUGAAGCCUCCCCAUGCCCGGCGGUGCCUGCUCGCCCCCAGCUCAUUCCCUGGGGCAGCAGAGGGACCCUGUGCUUGUGACUCACAGAGAAAAUCUCUGCAUCCACAUAAACCCUCAGCAAGUGGAUAAAAGCUGCUCUCUGUGCUGGAUAUUUGGUGUUCUGUGGCAAUUUUAUGCUGUUUCUCUUUGUUAACAUGUCUCUGUAAUAAUAAGAGUUCUCAAUUUGAUAUAUUUUAUUUUCUUUGUAUUAAGCCAAAAAGCUCCUUGCUGGUGCCUUUUUGCCUGGGGGGCCCUCCCAGCCCACAACUGUGUUCUGGGAGGAACAAAGGGCAGUGUGUCCAACUGUUCCUUCCACCAGAGCUGAGGGAAGGUGGGAAGCCAAUGCCUCAGGAUUGGCAGAAUGAAAAGAACCAGAGGCCUUGGAAUGGCAGAGGGAUUUGGGGUACGUUGCCGGUUCUUUCCCGGGGCGUGGCUCCAAGGAGAGGGCUGAGCACGACACUGGGACACCCUGACCCCGUUUCAGUGGGACUGGGACUCUCGAGGCUCUGUGAUGUGGGCACAGCACACGCAGCCUGGGCUGGCCCCGCUUGGAAUCACAGGGCUUUGCCCAGAUUAUAGCACCUGAGGGCAAAUCCUCUAGAAAAGGGUGAAAGGAUGUUCUUAGAUUGCUGCUACAGCUCUUUGGUUUUUUUAAUUGGAACGGAAUGCAUUGGGUAAGGAAAACAGACCCCCCCCAGUGUUCCGGUGCCACGAGGGCCAGAGCAGGUGACAGACGCUGCCAGGGCCAGCAGGAUCAGUGCAGGGUGCCCAGGGGACAGCUGAGUCUACAGUCCCUGUACAGGACUGAAGGCCAUUUACUUGUGUAACCAAAGAGAGGAGCCUGUCUGGCACUCAGGUAAAGACAAACCAAUGACACUGCGCUUGGGGUAAAUGAAAACUCUCCUUUUUGGCUCUGUCAGCCAUGCCUGGGUCUCAUGUGAGCCCUCGGCUCUGCCACAGGGCGGCCCCUCACGCUUGGUGUUCAGCUCUUUUUGUAAUCUGAAAAUUUGCUGUUGUUCUGAGUCCAAUAAAUGCAGAAUCUGGUUUGCUGGAGCUCUGCCCUCUGCCUGCAUUUGGCUUUUGUGUUGUUUUUGUGCGUGAAAUUGCUGUGGGUGUGACAGCUGUCAGCGAGUGAAGGCGCUGGGAAUCAGUGGGUCAUUUGUCAGUGGAUAAGGCUGUACAUUGGGUCGUUGUAGGCUUUUUUCACAGUCAGAUUUCGCUAUUAAUCACAUGUCUGAACUGGUAAUUCAGUUACAGAAUUGACUAAUCCUUUCAUAUAUUCCUCUUUGGGUCUUUUAAAAUAAAUUUCAUUUGAUUAAUGUAUUUCUCAAAACAAGAAGCUAAUAAAGGCCAGUGUCCUCCUC